AUGCUGAUCCUUAACCCAUGAGGCCACCAGGGAACUCCUUUUUAUCCUGAAGUACUAGGUUUUAUUUUUGUUUUCUUGGCAAAAUUCCCUAGAAGACUGCAGUUUUCUGAUUGCUUAAUUCUCCCUCAUCACCGGUCUUUUGUUCUCCUCCUUUUUUCUUCUGAUACAGGGAUGCCUCCUUCCUAAGCGAUCUCUUGUAUUCUAACACGACUGGGAACCAGGCAGCAAGCAAGCAACACCAUUAAAGAGACAACAUGGACUUAUCACUGAAGUUGUGGCAGGAAAAAGAAGAAAUAAACAUUGCUCGGUGCCAGAAAUGAGACUCUGGAACUUGAGGCCUGUCACUGCUCAGAAAAGAAAAGAGUAAAAAGAAAAGCAAAUGUCAGAGGAAGAGAAAGUGGGGUAGAGAGAGGAGGAAGAAAAAUAUGUAACCCAUGAGGAUUUUCUCCUAAAAGAGGUAAAAGGAAAAUCAAGGAAGCUUCAAAAGAGAGUAAAUGUGAACAUGCUCCCGAUGGAGACUCCAAAAUCCAGAAUCCAGAGUCCCAGCGUGGCCCUGCUUCCUCAUCUGAUUAAGUAACUUAUGAGACCAGAAGAUGGCAAGGUCUCUCCCAGCUCCCUCCUUCCACAACUCUUUCUGAGAAAUGAUGCAAAUGAAACGGAAAAGGAAACUCAGAAUGUCAAAGUUCCAGGGAUCAAACCCACGUCCAGGACCAGAGCUACUGCAAUGACAUUGCCAGAUCCUUAACCUGCUGAGCCAUAAGAAAACUCCUAUUUGUAGACUUUUUGAAGACUGCCAUUCUGACUGGUGUAAUGUGAUAGUUUUGAUUUGCAUUUUUCUAAUA